CGAUGAAGGCCCUAUGGGUUGUAAAGUUCUGUUGCAUGGGACGAACGAUUAGGAUAGGAAAUGAUCUUAAUGUGACGGUACCAUGCCAGAAAGCUCCGGCUAACUACGUGCCAGCAGCCGCGGUAAUACGUAGGGAGCAAGCGUUAUCCGGAUUUAUUGGGCGUAAAGGGUGCGUAGGCGGCUUGUUAAGUAUGAGAUUAAAGCCCGAGGCUUAACCUCGGUUCGUUUCAUAAACUGGCAGGCUUGAGUGUGGCAGAGGUAAACGGAAUUUCUAGUGUAGCGGUUAAAUGCGUAGAUAUUAGAAGGAACACCAGUGGCGAAGGCGGUUUACUGGGCCAUAACUGACGCUGAGGCACGAAAGCGUGGGGAGCAAAUAGGAUUAGAUACCCUAGUAGUCCACGCCGUAAACGAUGAGUACUAAGUGUUGGGGCAACCCAGUGCUGAAGUUAACACAUUAAGUACUCCGCCUGAGUAGUACGGUCGCAAGGCUGAAACUCAAAGGAAUUGACGGGCACCCGCACAAGCAGUGGAGCAUGCUGUUUAAUUCGAAGAUACGCGAAGAACCUUACCAGGGCUUGACAUCCCACUGACCGCUUUAGAAAUAAGGCUUUCCCUUCGGGGACAGUGGUGACAGGUGGUGCAUGGUUGUCGUCAGCUCGUGUCGUGAGAUGUUCGGUUAAGUCCGAUAACGAGCGCAACCCUUUUCUCUAAUUGCUAACAUUCAGUUGAGAACCUUAGAGAUACUGCCGGUGACAAACCGGAGGAAGGUGGGGAUGACGUCAAAUCAUCAUGCCCCUUACGUCCUGGGCUACAGGCGUGCUAUAAUGGCAGAUAUAAAAAGUCGCAAAACCGUGAGGUGGAGCUAAUCUGUAAAGUCUGUCUCAGUUCGGAUUGAAGUCUGCAACUCGACUUCAUGAAGCUAGAAUUGCUAGUAAUCGUGGAUCAGAAUGCCACGGUGAAUACGUUCCCGGGUGUUGUACACACCGCCCGUCACGCCAUGGGAGUCUGUAAUAUCUAAAAAUGGUAGCCUAACCGUUUACGGAGGGAUCCAUCUAAGGUAGGACAGGUGACUGGGGUGAAGUCGUAACAAGGUAUCACUACCGGAAGGUGGGGAUG
rnacentral:rRNA from 1 species